rnacentral:rRNA from 1 species
GAUGAACGCUGGCGGCGUGCUUAACACAUGCAAGUCGAACGGUGAACACGGAGCUUGCUCUGUGGGAUCAGUGGCGAACGGGUGAGUAACACGUGAGCAACCUGCCCCUGACUCUGGGAUAAGCGCUGGAAACGGCGUCUAAUACUGGAUAUGUGACGUGAUCGCAUGGUCUACGUCUGGAAAGAAUUUCGGUUGGGGAUGGGCUCGCGGCCUAUCAGCUUGUUGGUGAGGUAAUGGCUCACCAAGGCGUCGACGGGUAGCCGGCCUGAGAGGGUGACCGGCCACACUGGGACUGAGACACGGCCCAGACUCCUACGGGAGGCAGCAGUGGGGAAUAUUGCACAAUGGGCGCAAGCCUGAUGCAGCAACGCCGCGUGAGGGAUGACGGCCUUCGGGUUGUAAACCUCUUUUAGCAGGGAAGAAGCGAAAGUGACGGUACCUGCAGAAAAAGCGCCGGCUAACUACGUG